GUCUCUGUGGCGCAAUCGGUUAGCGCGUUCGGCUGUUAACUGAAAUGUUGGUGGUUCAAGCCCACCCAGGGAUG
rnacentral:tRNA from 2 species